UGCGGGGGGUUUGGGGCGGGCUGCAGGAGGGGAGCUGCUGGGGCUGUCCCCCGGGGUUUGGGUUUUGGGGGCUGGGGGUGGGCAGCCCGCGAGUGAGGCGGGUCCUGCAGCCCGCACGCCCAGCACCUGAUCCCCCUCUGACAGCCGCUCUCCUGGCUGACAACGGGAACAGUAACAUCACCGACUCCGUCUUCAGCAUCCGCUUUUUUAGGCUUUCCAGAAUAAGUUAAAUAAAUCUCUUCAUCUGAGCUGCGCAGCCAACAGGAGGUCGACCCCAGGUGCUUAAAUACGAGCACACAGCCUCAACAUCCAGCGCAGCCCCUGCCUGUCCUGGGGAGAUGCUGACGGGACCAACACGGUGGGUCACGACCCCCUGUGCACCUGACAGAGAGGCGAUGUCCCCGUCCUGCUGGCUGUGCUGCCCGUCCUAACCUCGAGGCAGCUCAGGAAUCAACAGCUAAGCACAGCACUCAGAGAGAAAUUCAGCCGGGAUGACAUGGUCCUCACCCGCAGCCGGUGCUGUCUUCGCCUGCAGAGCGGUCUGUGCGCUGCGUACCCACCUGUGCCAUCACCUUCACCAACGAUACCACACAAAACAGCAGGCAGAAAUGACCCCCCAGUUAUACAGCUUCUAAAAAUGCUCCUAUAGUCAGAAGAGAAACACAGAGCGCCAGGAGAGAAAAAGAGCGGUCCUGCUCUGUCCAGGAGGUGAGCCAGCAGCCUGCCUGCUAACACUUUCUUUGACCUCUGUUAAGUACGUGUUAAAGACUUGGCUUCCUGCGGUUUAUGGCGUGCUGAGUGAGGAGGUGAAGCCAAACAAGACUCCUGGACUCCUGAGCAGGAGAAUGUAAAAACGAUGGCAUCUGAAAGGAAAUCCCGUCCCAACAUACAGUUCCCUGUGUACAGUCAUUGUGGCUUUGGGCAUUUUAAACAGUCAGAUAAAUCAGCCUGAGCUUCAGCUCCACCUUUGGUAAGGCCAGGAUUUCAUCUCGACCCUCCCACAACCAAAGGAGGCGGACAGAAUAAAAACACACUUGCCAAAAAUGGGUCAUGGGCUUGCCAAAAAAACUUGACCUAUACAAAGUAGAUGCUUAUCUAGUAGUUUGAGGAGGUACCUCCAGCAUGGUUGACAUCAUGCAUGAUAAUAAUUUUGGAGGAUUUACCAACUUACGCUUACUGGGACGGGAUCCUGAGAAGUACAGAGGAGUGUGGUUAUAUGUGAGCUACUGGGGUUUUCCCUUUAUAUGACAUUUCACAGGGUAAGACAAACGAGAAACCAAUGAAAUAAAUAUACGCAUUUUUGGUUUUUUUUUUUUUUUUUUUUUUUUUUUUUUCAGACAAUGGGGCUACAAACUUCUAUGGCUACUGUUCUGGAAAAGGCAGAAAACACAAAUCACUUUACCACAGGCUGUUUUUACUGAUAGAAAAACGUGGGAAGUUCUCGAAAGAUUAUCAAACCAAACAAGAACCACAGUAAAUGUUUUGUUCUGCGCCUUCGCAGUGAGGCUCCUGUGCUGAAGUGGGAUUAGCCUGUAAAUGGUUGCUUUGGUUCUUUUGGGGUUGUUUUUUUUU